AUUGAACGCUGGCGGCAUGCCUUACACAUGCAAGUCGAACGGCAGCACGGGGGCAACCUUGGUGGCGAGUGGCGAACGGGUGAGUAAUACAUCGGAACGUGCCCUGAAGUGGGGGGAUAACGUAGCGAAAGUUACGCUAAUACCGCAUAUUCUGUGAGCAGGAAAGCAGGGGAUCGCAAGACCUUGUGCUUUAGGAGCGGCCGAUGUCGGAUUAGCUAGUUGGUGAGGUAAAGGCUCACCAAGGCGACGAUCCGUAGCGGGUCUGAGAGGAUGAUCCGCCACACUGGGACUGAGACACGGCCCAGACUCCUACGGGAGGCAGCAGUGGGGAAUUUUGGACAAUGGGCGCAAGCCUGAUCCAGCCAUGCCGCGUGAGUGAAGAAGGCCUUGGUGUAAG
rnacentral:rRNA from 1 species